rnacentral:rRNA from 1 species
AUGUCUUCCUCUCCCUCCGCCAACCCGGGCCACGGCGUCGCCACCGCCGCCGCGGCGUCCAGGCCCACGGACCCCAAGGGCUUCGCCUCGUUCCUGCGCACCCAGGACGAGGUCGACGCGCUCUGCGACGAGUACGGGGUACCCAAGAACCAGUACACCGCGCGCCCCGCCGGGGACCUGUGCGCGAACUCGACCCCGCCGCCCAGGGCCAUCUGCGUGUAUGCACAAGCGCUGGAGGCCGGGAUGCGCGUCCCGCUGGAGGGCUUCUUGCGCGAGGCCCUCGCCCACUUCGGCAUCGCGCCGGCCCAGCUCACGCCCAACGGGUGGCGCAUGAUGGCCGGCUUCCUCGUGCUCUGCCACCUGACCGGCGUGCCGCCGUCGCUCGCGGUGUUCCGGCGUUUCUUCCUGCUGUCCAACGUCUCCCAGAAGCACAAGAAAGGCUGGUACUUUUUCCGGUCCAGGGACAGCUCCGACUUGCGCUUCACGGGGAUGCCGCACCCGUAUUCCAUUUCCUUCAAGGACUGGAAACACGAGUUCUUCUUCCUCUCGUCGCCGGAGCCGUGGCCUUGCGCCAUGGAGUGGCGCGAGCCGUCCAAGAGCUCACUGGUGAUGCCGGUGCUAACCGGCGAGGAAAAUCAGUGGGCGGCCAAAUUGCUGCGUGCUUACGGCGGCGCGGCCGUUGAUCUCAACGCGUAUCUCACCACCAGCAACCUUGCCGCCGCAAUGGCAAUCACUACUUCCAAAGGCAUGUAUCCCUCUGCCCACGACAGGAUGAAGACUAUGCUCGCGGAGAAGGCGGACGCGCGGGCGUCGGCGUCGGCGAACAGGGUGAAGGCUGAGCCGGGCGGCGACGCAGCAGGGUCGCUAUCUCUGUGCGGGGAGAAGCGGGGUCUGGAGGAAGCCAACGGCGAGGAGGAGGUCCCGCCUCUUUCACUGCUGAACACGCCGCUGUCCAGCGUGUGCGCGCCACCGCCCGGCUUCUCCCGGAAGCCACAGCACAUCGCCGCAAGCACAAGGCACGCCGGGGACACAAUGGACUGGGAUGCUGCAAGGGAGCUGCUGCAGGGCGCCGUCUCGACGCCGCUGGAGCGCGCGUUCGCGGCCAACGAGCCUUCCGACGUCGUCAAGUCGAGCUUUGCAGCGAUUCUCCAGGCCGCGAACUACGCGCCGUUCUCCUUCCGGUACGCGCUGGAGCUGGAGGAGAAACUGGCGGCCAGGGAGCGCGAGGCCGCGGCGCUGCGGGAGCAGCUGGAGGAGGCAAAGGCCGAGCUCGCGGCGACGAAGCAGGCAAAGGCGGAGCUCGAGAAGGCGAAAGGCUGGCUCGCCGUGGCGAAGCGGGCCGGGGAGGCGCAGGCCGAGCUCGCCGCGGCUCGGGCGGAGGCGGUGGAGAAGAGGGCCGAGCUCGCCGCGUUGAAGCGGGCCGCGGAGGCUGAGGCGGAGAAGGCGAAGGCCGGACUCGCGGCGGCGGAGGCGGUGGCGGUGCAGCAACUCCUGGCGUCGGAGGAGGACGUGCGGCGUCGCGCGGAGCACGCGCUGGAGGGGUACGAGCGCUGGCGAGGCCUUCAGGCUCCGGCCGGUCGUGCCGCUUGA